rnacentral:rRNA from 1 species
UACGACUACAUAUCAGGCAUAUCAAUAAGCGGAGGAAAAGAAACUAACAUAGGAUUCCCUCAGUAACGGCGAGUGAAGCGGGAAGAGCUCAAAUUUGAAAUCUUCAAGGUUUUACCUUGACGAAUUGUAGUUUAAAGAAGUGCUUUUCUGUUGAAGUUUUGGUAAAAGUUCUUUGGAAUAGGACAUCAUAGAGGGUGAGAAUCCCGUAUUUGACCAUUAUUUCCAGCUGUGUGAUACACUUUCAAAGAGUCGGAUUGUUUGGGAAUGCAGUCCAAAAUGGGUGGUAAAUUUCAUCUAAAGCUAAAUAUUGGCGAGAGACCGAUAGCGAACAAGUACCGUGAGGGAAAGAUGAAAAGAACUUUGAAAAGAGAGUUAAACAGUACGUGAAAUUGUCAAGAGGGAAGCGUUUGACACCAGUGUUGUUUUCUCGAAAAUCAAUUAAAAAUAGUUGGAUUUUGUGUUGUAUUGACCUUAACAGCUUGCUUCACUCUUUUCCAGCUUUUUUUAAUGCACUUUUCGUUUAACAAGUCAACAUCAGUUUCUUUUGUUGUAAAAGGGUCAUUGGAAGGUGGCUUGCGCUUCGGCUCAAGUGUUUAUAGCCUUUUAUCUCUGCAGUCGGAGAGAUUGAGGUCUGCAGCGUAGACUCUUCGGGGUUAGAUACGUCGGUGCUAAGCUAUAGCCUUUCAUAGACAACUUGUUGACUAUGUUUAGUCAUGUGGCUUACCCGCUGGCGCUAUUUUACCUACGCUUAGGAUGUUGAGCGCAUGUCUCUCUCU